rnacentral:rRNA from 1 species
GAUGAACGCUGGCGGCGUGCCUAAUACAUGCAAGUCGAGCGAACAGACGAGGAGCUUGCUCCUCUGACGUUAGCGGCGGACGGGUGAGUAACACGUGGAUAACCUACCUAUAAGACUGGGAUAACUUCGGGAAACCGGAGCUAAUACCGGAUAAUAUAUUGAACCGCAUGGUUCAAUAGUGAAAGACGGUUUUGCUGUCACUUAUAGAUGGAUCCGCGCCGCAUUAGCUAGUUGGUAAGGUAACGGCUUACCAAGGCAACGAUGCGUAGCCGACCUGAGAGGGUGAUCGGCCACCCUGGAACUGAGACACGGUCCAGACUCCUACGGGAGGCAGCAGUAGGGAAUCUUCCGCAAUGGGCGAAAGCCUGACGGAGCAACGCCGCGUGAAUGAUGAAGGUCUUCGGAUCGUAAAACUCUGUUAUUAGGGAAGAACAAAUGUGUAAGUAACUAUGCACGUCUUGACGGUACCUAAUCAGAAAGCCACGGCUAACUACGUG